UGGGGAAUAUUGGACAAUGGGCGCAAGCCUGAUCCAGCCAUGCCGCGUGAGUGAAGAAGGCCUUAGGGUUGUAAAGCUCUUUCAGUCGUGAAGAUGAUGACGGUAGCGACAGAAGAAGCCCCGGCUAACUCCGUGCCAGCAGCCGCGGUAAUACGGAGGGGGCAAGCGUUGUUCGGAAUUACUGGGCGUAAAGGGCGCGUAGGCGGACGAUCAAGUCAGGGGUGAAAGGCCUGGGCUCAACCCGGGAACUGCCUUUGAAACUGAUAGUCUAGAGACCGGAAGAGGAUGGCGGAAUUCCCAGUGUAGAGGUGAAAUUCGUAGAUAUUGGGAAGAACACCAGUGGCGAAGGCGGCCAUCUGGUCCGGAUCUGACGCUGAGGCGCGAAAGCGUGGGGAGCAAACAGGAUUAGAUACCCCCGUAGUCC
rnacentral:rRNA from 1 species